UACGGAGGGUGCGAGCGUUAAUCGGAAUAACUGGGCGUAAAGGGCACGCAGGCGGGCUUUUAAGUUAGAUGUGAAAUCCCCGGGCUUAACCUGAGAAUAGCAUUUCAGACUGGGAGUCUUGAGUACUUUAGGGAGGGGUAGAAUUCCACGUGUAGCGGUGAAAUGCGUAGAGAUGUGGAGGAAUACCGAUGGCGAAGGCAGCCCCUUGGGAAUUUACUGACGCUCAUGUACGAAAGCGUGGGGAGCAAACGGG
rnacentral:rRNA from 1 species